UACGUAGGAUGCUAGCGUUGUCCGGAUUUACUGGGCGUAAAGCGCGCGCAGGCGGCACUGUAAGUAAGGUGUGAAAUCUCCCUGCUCAACGGGGAGGGUGCACUUUAGACUGCAGAGCUAGAGGACGGUAGAGGGGGGUGGAAUUGCUGGUGUAGCGGUGAAAUGCGUAGAGAUCAGCAGGAACACCCGUGGCGAAGGCGGCUUCCUGGUCCAGCACCGACGUUCAGGCACGAAAGCGUGGGGAGCAAACAGG
rnacentral:rRNA from 1 species